AAAUUGAAUAGUCGCGUGCACAAAUUUCAAAGUAGUGUAUGAGGAAAGUCCGGGCUCCAUAGAGCAAUGAUGCUGGGUAACGCCCAGUGAGGGUAACCUUAAGGAAAGUGCAACAGAAAAUAACCGCCAUUCAUUUGGUAAGGGUGAAAAAGUGAGGUAAGAGCUCACUAGUGGUAUAGUGAUAUAUCAUUUGUGUAAACCCCAUCUGGAGCAACACCUUAAAAGAAAGGUUAAGGCUGCUCGCCGUCUUUCGAGUUAGGUGGCUUGAAAUAUAUAGCAAUAUAUAUUCUAGAUAAAUGGCUAUUCAUGACAGAACCCGGCUUACAGAUUUACUUU
rnacentral:RNase_P_RNA from 1 species